UUGCUUUCAUUCAUAUUAAAGAGAUUCAAUUUCGUUCUUAAUUCCUUUCAUUCCAUCAGAUUCUGUUAAGUUAAACCAGGAUCAAACCGGACUAAACCGGAAUUAAUUAAAAUCAAGUAUCUAGCGCCUUUGUAGUUUGUACCACCCAGUGGCUCCAACCGCUGGCGAGUUCGCGUCUUUCCGAGCGACGUCCAGUGACCACUGUCAUUGAUCGCUGCAGACCCGCGAAGAGGUGAGCUCUGACGUCCAGUGUCCACGCUCGAUCUGCGACCUUUCCACCAUUAGAGCACCGGUCCAAGCUCUUCGAUCAACAGAAACCUCUGUCAUUACCUCAAUCUCGCCGUCGUAGCUUCCAAUCCGAUCAUGGCCUCCUUCCCCGAAACCUCCAUAGGCGUGAGUCUACAAUCCGCCAGCUUCUCCUCGUGUCGCUCUCAGCUUCAAGUCAUCCUCGUGGCUGAGCUCGAGUCGUGGUAGCCUGUCCCGAAUCUCCAGAGUCUUUCCGAGCGACGUCGCGGCCAUCUUCAGAUUGAAAAGCUCGGGAGUUCCACAAUGGUUCUUCUCAAAUGGAUCCCAAAACUCUCGACAUUACAUAUGUGUCCUCACAAAUCAACCUCAGACUUUCGAUUGCGCAACCCAGACCUCUUCGUAAUUGCACAAAGUUCCCUCGGAUAGAGUGCGUAUGCUCAACCGCUAACUGCCUAAACUCCUUUCUAUCCAUACCGGCACAAAUAAAUUGUUACUGAUAGGCUAUAUUAUAUCAACAAGCAAACAAACGAUUAAUG
rnacentral:lncRNA from 1 species